rnacentral:tRNA from 1 species
UAGAAGGUAGCAUAAUGAAGUGCUGAAGAUUUUGAGUCUUUAUGUGCGGGUUCGAGUCCUGUUCUUCUAA